UACGUAGGUGACAAGCGUUGUCCGGAUUUACUGGGCGUAAAGAGCGCGCAGGCGGUCGUUCAAAGUCGAGUGUGAAAGCCCCCCGGCUCAACUGGGGAGGGUCACUCGAUACUGAUCGACUCGAAGGCAGGAGAGGGUAGUGGAAUUCCCGGUGUAGUGGUGAAAAUGCGUAGAUAUCGGGAGGAACACCAGUGGCGAAGGCGACUACCUGGCCUGUUCUUGACGCUGAGGCGCGAAAGCUAGGGGAGCAAACGGGG
rnacentral:rRNA from 1 species